GAGGAAGUAAAAGUCGUAACAAGGUUUCCGUAGGUGAACCUGCGGAAGGAUCAUUAAAGAGUAAGGGUGCUCAGCGCCCGACCUCCAACCCUUUGUUGUUAAAACUACCUUGUUGCUUUGGCGGGACCGCUCGGUCUCGAGCCGCUGGGGAUUCGUCCCAGGCGAGCGCCCGCCAGAGUUAAACCAAACUCUUGUUAUUAAACCGGUCGUCUGAGUUAAAAUUUUGAUAAAUCAAAACUUUCAACAACGGAUCUCUUGGUUCUCGCAUCGAUGAAGAACGCAGCGAAAUGCGAUAAGUAAUGUGAAUUGCAGAAUUCAGUGAAUCAUCGAAUCUUUGAACGCACAUUGCGCCCCUUGGUAUUCCGAGGGGCAUGCCUGUUCGAGCGUCAUUACACCACUCAAGCUAUGCUUGGUAUUGGGUGCCGUCCUUAGUUGGGCGCGCCUUAAAGACCUCGGCGAGGCCUACCGGCUUUAGGCGUAGUAGAAUUUAUUCGAACGUCUGUCAAAGGAGAGGACUUCUGCCGACUGAAACCUUUUAUUUUUCUAGGUUGACCUCGGAUCAGGUAGGGAUACCCGCUGAACUUAAGCAUAUCAA
rnacentral:rRNA from 1 species